GACGAACGCUGGCGGCGUGCCUAAUACAUGCAAGUCGAGCGAAGUUUUUCUGGUGCUUGCACUAGAAAAACUUAGCGGCGAACGGGUGAGUAACACGUAAAGAACCUACCUCAUAGACUGGGACAACUAUUGGAAACGAUAGCUAAUACCGGAUAACAGUAUUUCUCGCAUGAGAGAUAUUUAAAAGUUGGUUAUGCUAACACUAUGAGAUGGCUUUGCGGUGCAUUAGCUAGUUGGUGGGGUAAAGGCCCACCAAGGCGACGAUGCAUAGCCGACCUGAGAGGGUGAUCGGCCACACUGGGACUGAGACACGGCCCAGACUCCUACGGGAGGCAGCAGUAGGGAAUCUUCCGCAAUGGGCGAAAGCCUGACGGAGCAACGCCGCGUGAGUGAAGAAGGAUUUCGGUUCGUAAAGCUCUGUUGUUAGGGAAGAAUGGAUAUGUAGUAACUAUACAUGUAAGAGACGGUACCUAACCAGAAAGCCACGGCUAACUACGUG
rnacentral:rRNA from 1 species